rnacentral:rRNA from 1 species
GAUGAACGCUAGCUACAGGCUUAACACAUGCAAGUCGAGGGGAAACGACAUCGAAAGCUUGCUUUUGGUGGGCGUCGACCGGCGCACGGGUGAGUAACGCGUAUCCAACCUGCCCACCACUUGGGGAUAACCUUGCGAAAGUAAGACUAAUACCCAAUGAUAUCCCACGAAGGCAUCCGAAUGGGAUUAAAGAUUUAUCGGUGAUGGAUGGGGAUGCGUCUGAUUAGCUUGUUGGCGGGGUAACGGCCCACCAAGGCAACGAUCAGUAGGGGUUCUGAGAGGAAGGUCCCCCACAUUGGAACUGAGACACGGUCCAAACUCCUACGGGAGGCAGCAGUGAGGAAUAUUGGUCAAUGGGCGAGAGCCUGAACCAGCCAAGUAGCGUGCAGGAAGACGGCCCUAUGGGUUGUAAACUGCUUUUAUAGGGGAAUAAAGUGAGCCACGUGUGGUUUUUGUAGGUACCACAUGAAUAAGGACCGGCUAAUUCCGUG